rnacentral:rRNA from 1 species
GUGUCCUACGGGGGGCAGCAGUGAGGAAUAUUAGUCAAUGGGAGAGAUCCUGAACCAGCCAAGCCGCGUGAGGGAAGACGGCCCUAUGGGUUGUAAACCUCUUUUGUCGGAGAACAAAACCCGGGACGUGUCCCGGACUGCGUGUAUCCGAAGAAAAAGCAUCGGCUAACUCCGUGCCAGCAGCCGCGGUAAUACGGAGGAUGCGAGCGUUAUCCGGAUUUAUUGGGUUUAAAGGGGGCGCAGACGGCAAUGCAAGCCAGGAGUGAAAGCCCGGGGCCCAACCCCGGGACUGCUCUUGGGACUGC